rnacentral:Y_RNA from 1 species
GUCUGGUCCCGAGUGCAGCGGUGUUUACAACUAAUUGAUCACAACCAGUUACAGAUUCCUUUGUUCUUUCUCCACUCCCACUGCUACACUUGACCAGCCUUAA